CUUCAGCGACCCCAGCAGCAGCGGGCGGUCGGCGGGACGGUCCUGUCCGUAGGUCGCCAGCAGCGCCUGCGCCUC
rnacentral:antisense_RNA from 1 species